CUGCAGCGCGACCAGAAGGGCGCCUGGUCGUCUCGGGGACGGCAGACGUGCCCGUGCCCAGCCGUGGCCGCGUCCCUGCCACACGCUGGCGUUUGGGACCGGACACUGGGGUGCUCCGGCUGGAUUUCUCGGUAGAGCGACUCUGGUGCAGCCCCGUGACCGUCCGACCGCGUGGCAGCCCUCUGCAGGGCUCUGCGUGGGGUCACGGGAGGAGACCUCGUCUGAACACCCGCGAGCCCAGCCCGGGCUUCGGGGUGAGGGGCGGCGGGCACGGCGACGCGGACUCCCGUAGCCGCUGCUAACGGGAGAAGCCGGGGAUUCUGCAUGCUUUCUGGGGGCACUGAAGCAAGGCCACCGCCCGGGAAGCCUGCAGGGACGCGGGCCACGGCGACGGCUUCGUGGUAAGGGCGCCUUCAGCGCCCGUGUGCCCAUGUGCCCGUGACACCGGCAAGGGCUGCAGUAACGCCGUGGGCUCUUCCCCAAAUACGGCUGCAACCCUUCCCAGGCAAGACUCCAUUCUGCUGUGCGGGAUUCCGCGGUGUGAUUUCCCCCCUUCGGUUAAUUCAUUUUACAACCAUCCCUGACGUUUCCAGCUGUGCGGGGCCCUGGGCAUAGACCGGGGCUGGCAGCGUGGCAAGGCGGCCGGCAGGGCGGCUCAGCCUCCUCAGAAGGGCCCGCUGUCCCUCCAGACUCACCUGCCCCACCCCACCCCGUUAACCACCCGGCCAGUCCUUCUCACCAAAGAGGGUCCUGCGAUUGCAACCCGACAGGCUCGCCCCCGAGACUGGCUUCUUUCACGCAGGAUAAUGCCGCUCAUAACUGGAUUUUAAUAGUAUAUUUUGUUCUCCGCUUCUCAGCUAUAAAGACAGUGCCAUGCAGUAAAAUUCCAUGACUCCACAGGGAGCCGGUGAUUUCACCGAGGCAGAGGCGGGUCUGAGCCAUCCCAGCGCCGUGUCAGGGCAGCCGCAGGGCAGCUUGCUCUCUGGGUGGCAUUGAGUUCCCGGCCGGGCCUCAGCCUGAUUUCCAGAGUCUUCCGAGGACGUGGCCUCCUGUGCAGCGGGACUUCCUGGGAAGCGAGAAGACAGCCUUCCUUCCUCCGUUAGAAUCACCGCGGGAUCCGGACCUACUUCCGUACGCCCCCUCGGCAGCUUACUGGGACGCUUUGCGGUUCAGGGAAUAAGUCGUAUUUCAGUGAGAGUGGUAGUGGUUUUAGUUCACUCCUGCAGGGCCGCUUUGAUUGGAAGUGUGCUGCACAUUUGUAAUUUGGAAUCCAAUAGCUUCGAAGUCGUGGGCGGAACACGAGAGCCUCUUUGGACCUGGUCAGCACGUGCGGAGUGGGCGGAGGCACCGGGCAGCCGGGCGCAUGACGCCUGCUCUGUGCUCCCUCAGCUGUCGUCCCCAGCCCUGGACAUGCCCUACGCUGCACCCAACCUAGAGCAGUGCCAGACGGUUUGCGGCUUCCUGCGGGCAAAGCCCAUGUCCGGCACAGCACGCCACGCCUCAGACGCCUGCUGGGUGAACAACCGGCCCAGCGGAGUUCGCUGGCAAGUGAGGCUGAGGGGAAGCAGAAGCUCAGCGCCUGCCCUGGGGGGAAGCGGUCUGGGCGGCCCGCAGGCUCAGGAGUGCGGCUUCCUUCCCUGACCUUGACAGAGAGGCUUGCGGGGGCAGAGAGCAACACAGCGCUCUCCGGGGGCACCCGGGAAGGACGCUCUGCGCUUGGAGCUCCAUCCUUAACACCAACCCGGUGGUGACAGGCUGGGAGAAGUGGGGAAGCGCACACUGCCUGUCCCUAAAGGACAUCUCCAGCCUCCGAGCACCGAGGCUUGUGCUGCGUUCCCAGGGAGACACGGCCUUGUCUUCCCAGACGUCUUCUGGUAGCGUUUGUUAUCCUCCACCCAGACCGGGCCAAGGCCGUUUUCCUCAGGGCAGACACACGCCUCCCUUUAGCAGAGUUGCCUGAUCUAGUAGGCAGCACCUCACUUUCCAAAGAUCCGGAGUCCGGAAGGAGACCUCACACUGAGCUUUUCACAUGAACUCACAUAAGACUCACUUGCCCCAGUCUGCAAGGAAGACCCUGAGGCUCGGAGAGGUGUUGA